UUUAGGGUAAAAAAACCCAGUACUAAGCUGGACCAGGGAUUACUGUUUGGCUCAUGGUACCCCCAAAAAGAAGCUGGAAUCCAAUGGCGAGCUCUCCAUCAGCUGCAAGGCUGAUCAGUCCCACACACUCAGGGUCCCUUAGCCACAGCCUGGCUAAGACAGAAGUGCUGACCUGAAGGGGAAACCUGGUAAUAGGAGGCAAGCCUUUCUGAACCUCCAAGAAGGGAAUGAAUUCCUUCUGACAGGAGCUAAUCUUUAGCCACUCCAGAGGCCCACAAGGGGAAUCUCAAAGUCCAGAGGUUCCUUAUUUACACAGCUAUUACACGCAGUAUGUCUCUUUGGGACAUGUGGAUUAUGAUGACUAUUUUUAAAAGUGGGGCUAUCCCAAAGAAAAGAUGGAUUAUUUGAAGAAUUUUUAAAAUUGUUGUCAUAAUGCUUUCAUUCUAAUAUCAGCUCACUGUAGUAUCCCUGUGAGCUAUAGUUGGUUUAGGCCACAUUUUACUGUUGUAGACACUGAGAUACAAAUAUCUAAAUAAAAAACAAGAAAUAACUUUGGUAAUAAGGACGAGGAGCAGUCCUCAUUAGAGGUUUUAGCCCCAGAAUUUCCAGGCUCUGGGCACCUCAUCCACUGCUAUCUCCCACUCCCUCCCACCCACCAUCAUGCCAGCCCCACAGUACAGAGGGUUUCUAGAGAGAAGGCAAACAAACAUCCCCCCCUUUUCUCUUCUUCGUUGUCAAGAAAUGAACAAAGUAAAGUGGGGAGGGGGCAUCAUAUCACGUGAUCAUUGGAGAGGGGAAGGCAGGGCUGGAGGCUUUGGCACAGGACAGGGCAGAUGGGUCUCAGCUGUGCCUGGCUGUAACCCCACACUGCUCUCUCCCACUCGUUCACUGAGGGUUCCCACACUUCUUAGAGAAACAGUAUUCCGGAGCAAGGUCUGAGUCAGUAGAAUCAAACCCACUUUCAGUUCUGAGCUAGGGAAAAGCAACCCUGAGUAGAAAGUGAGGAAGGGUGCCUCAACUGGGAGCCCUCAGAAUGGAGCCUGAGAAAGAGGAGGGAGGGUAGGUGUGAAAGGAGGGCAGGGGAUAGCAGCCCCCAUCCCCCGAGGCCCCAGUCAGUGUCUCUGUGCAAAUUAAGAACAAGGACCCCUUUGUGGGCUAUGGGGUCGACAGCCCCCAGACAUGGCUUAUCAUAGAGGAAAAUGGCAACCUCUGUGUGGACUGAGGUCAGUCCUCACCCUGAACCCCUUGGCCAGGUGCCUCCAUGUAGAGAAAACUGCACAAACAUAUAUGUGGUCCCAGGAAGGAAGGAUCCCAACCCUUUUCAUGCUUCUGUGCAUUUCCCAGUCCCCUCUCCCUUUCCCCAGCAGCCUUGGAUUUCCUGCUGUGAGCCUCAGCCACCAGGCUCUGGGGGAGGGUGAGUCUGUCUCUCCCUGCCUGCCUUCAUCUGCAGCAUGGGGGCUCUAGCAGGAAGGCCAGGAACUCUCAGGGGAGACCUCAUGCAGAUACUGCUUCCUAAGGAACCCCAUUAACUUCCGGGGUCCAGGGUGUUUUCUCCCAGUGACCACUGACAUCUCCAUGAGGCAAGAUAGAGCCUCUCAAAGACAGUGAUGGGGGAGGGGCAUGGAAACACUGUUAUGUUCACUGAUACUCUUUUCACAUGGGUCUAUUCCCUCAGAUUAUCUCCCAUGGGACACACACGACUUUUUUGGGGGGGUUACUUAGGGAGGAGCAGCAGCGAGGGCACUUCAGUGAUUCUAGUGUGCAGUCAGCAUUAAGAACUAUGUCUAAGACCAAAGCAAUGCAGAAGAAAGGGCCCUGCAGGGUCUUUCUUGUGCCCCACUCCACCCUAGCACAAAAAGACCCAGAAGGUGACAGAAACAAGAAAGGAUAGUGUCCAGGAGAGCUCUUCCUCAAAUGAGCCUCCUCUCCUCCACUUCGUUCUCAAGACAGUGCAUUUCCUCGUUCUAGGUAAUGAGUACAUGAAACACGUUAAAUGUCCUUCAGCCUCCCUACCACGACAUCCAACAGCUGGAACUUCCAUCCAGUCCUUCACAUGAUGGGCACCUGUGGGAAACCUGCCAGGGGCAGCCGAUGUUCAGAGGCAUCCAAAAAAAGUCUCCCACUUCGGCAGCCAUGAAGCCCACUCAUGCAACCGUCCUCACUUUUCCUUCCUCUCACGGUUUUUUGCAGAAGCAAGUGCUCAGGGAAAUGAAGACAGGAGAACUGCUGCCGUCAUGAGCUAUGCCGACAGUCAGCAGCUGAUCCCCGACAGAAACGCAGCAGAUGCAGACGCUCCUGAUGAAAUCAUCCCUGUGGGGAGUGCAGGGCCAGAUGGGGACUCCAUGGAGACAGCCGACCGGCGACAGCCUUCAGCUCCGACAAAGACACAUCACCUUGCAAAUGACACUUUGCCGUCUGGUUUCUGUGUUUUGUUGUAACAGGUUAAAUGAACCCCUGGGCUUAAUUUUCCCCCUACUUAGUUCUGUGGCAGCAAAGAAAAGUGACUUCUUUUCAUUUCUCAGCUCAAAACUUCUUAAGCCGUGUCUCUUCCUCAUCAUCCCUUUGAGAAUAAAAGUCUAGAAAUGAAACACAA
rnacentral:lncRNA from 1 species